AGUGAACGCUGGCGGUAGGCCUAACACAUGCAAGUCGAACGGCAGCACAGUAAGAGCUUGCUCUUACGGGUGGCGAGUGGCGGACGGGUGAGGAAUACAUCGGAAUCUACUUUUUCGUGGGGGAUAACGUAGGGAAACUUACGCUAAUACAGCAUUCGAUCUACGGGUGAAAGCAGGGGAUCUUCGCACCUUGCGCGAUUGAAUUAGCCGAUGUCGGAUUAGCUAGUUGGCGGGGUAAAGGCCCACCAAGGCGACGAUCCGUAGCUGGUCUGAGAGGAUGAUCGGCCACACUGGAACUGAGACACGGUCCAGACUCCUACGGGAGGCAGCAGUGGGGAAUAUUGGACAAAGGGCGCAAGCCUGAUCCAGCCAUACCGCGUGGGUGAAGAAGGCCUUCGGGUUGUAAAGCCCUUUUGUUGGGAAAGAAAAGCAGCAGGUUAAUACGCCGCUGUUCUGACGGUACCCAAUGAAUAAGCACCGGCUAACUACGUG
rnacentral:rRNA from 1 species